UUGAUUAUGGAUGCCAGUCGAGGUUGAUGGAUGAUGAUUUAUUGAUGAUGAUGACAAAAUGUAAGGUACUCUGAUGUCUAU